UACGUAGGGACCGAGCGUUGUCCGGAAUCAUUGGGCGUAAAGCGCGUGUAGGCGGCCCGGUAAGUCCGCUGUGAAAGUCGGGGGCUCAACCCUCGAAUGCCGGUGGAUACUGUCGGGCUCGAGUGCGGAAGAGGCGAGUGGAAUUCCUGGUGUAGCGGUGAAAUGCGCAGAUAUCAGGAGGAACACCGAUUGCGAAGGCAGCUCGCUGGGACGUUACUGACGCUGAGACGCGAAAGCGUGGGGAGCAAACAGG
rnacentral:rRNA from 1 species